rnacentral:rRNA from 1 species
UGGGGGAGCAAACAGGGCUUAGAUACCCUGGUAGUCCACCCCGUAAACGUUGGGAACUAGUUGUGGGGUCCAUUCCACGGAUUCCGUGACGCAGCUAACGCAUUAAGUUCCCCGCCUGGGGAGUACGGCCGCAAGGCUAAAACUCAAAGGAAUUGACGGGGACCCGCACAAGCGGCGGAGCAUGCGGAUUAAUUCGAUGCAACGCGAAGAACCUUACCAAGGCUUGACAUAUACGAGAACGGGCCAGAAAUGGUCAACUCUUUGGACACUCGUAAACAGGUGGUGCAUGGUUGUCGUCAGCUCGUGUCGUGAGAUGUUGGGUUAAGUCCCGCAACGAGCGCAACCCUCGUUCUAUGUUGCCAGCACGUAAUGGUGGGAACUCAUGGGAUACUGCCGGGGUCAACUCGGAGGAAGGUGGGGAUGACGUCAAAUCAUCAUGCCCCUUAUGUCUUGGGCUUCACGCAUGCUACAAUGGCCGGUACAAAGGGCUGCAAUACCGCGAGGUGGAGCGAAUCCCAAAAAGCCGGUCCCAGUUCGGAUUGAGGUCUGCAACUCGACCUCAUGAAGUCGGAGUCGCUAGUAAUCGCAGAUCAGCAACGCUGCGGUGAAUACGUUCCCGGGUCUUGUACACACCGCCCGUCAAGUCAUGAAAGUCGGU